CACGUAGGGCGCAAGCGUUAUCCGGAAUUAUUGGGCGUAAAGAGCUCGUAGGCGGUUUGUCGCGUCUGCCGUGAAAGUCCGGGGCUCAACUCCGGAUCUGCGGUGGGUACGGGCAGACUAGAGUGAUGUAGGGGAGACUGGAAUUCCUGGUGUAGCGGUGAAAUGCGCAGAUAUCAGGAGGAACACCCGUAGCGAAGGCGGCACUCUGGGCCGAUACUGACACUGAGGAGCGAAAGCGUGGGGAGCGAACAGG
rnacentral:rRNA from 1 species